GCUGAUGCUUUUUUAUUUCUUCUUAACCCUAAACCUAAUUCAUUCCUCUUUCUUUGUCCUGUCCUCUCCUCCUCUUUCUCUUUCUCUCUCCUCUCCUCUCCUCCUCCUUCCUUCUCCUUCUCAACUGACCAUCUUACUCGAGUAAUUAGUUUUUCACCGCCACAGCAACCACCGUCACAACCACAACCUCCGCCCAGCACAGCCCACAGAAAUGUCGAUCAAAGGGCCCAAAUUGACGGUAGAAUCGAGUCAGCCGCCGCUGUUCUCCUCCACUCCCUCGCUUUCUCCCACGCGCCGCCCAGCGUCCUCGAUCUCCUCCUUCUCUUUCUCUUUCUUUCUCGAUCUCCUUCUCCCUCACCUCCUUCUCCCUCGUGUCCUCCUUUCUUUCUAUUGAAGACCACCACUUGCACCACCACCAAGACCACCACAUGCAACACCAAUUCGAGGUAUGUUAUUUAGAUCGAAAUCGAAGAAACAAGAUACAAGAAUAUUGAUUUAGAUGUGAAUGAGUUUUUUUUUAUUAUUAUUUAUAUUGUAAUUUUUUUUAAUUUAUAUUGUAAUUUUUUUUUCGUACUUAUAUGUUGUAAUCGAUCUAUUUUAUUGAUGUAUAUUGUAAUUUUUUUUAUUAUUAUAUAUUGUAAAUUUUCGAUGAUAUUGAUUGUUAUUGGAUUUAUGUUUUGAUGUGGUUA